rnacentral:rRNA from 1 species
UACGUAGGUGGCAAGCGUUGUCCGGAUUUAUUGGGUUUAAAGGGUGCGUAGGCGGUUCAUUAAGUCAGUGGUGAAAUACGGCAGCUUAACUGUCGAGGUGCCAUUGAUACUGGUGGACUUGAGUACUGAUGAGGUAGGCGGAAUGGACGGUGUAGGGGUGAAAUGCUUAGAGAUCGUCCAGAACACCGAUAGCGAAGGCAGCUUACUAAGGAGUAACUGACGCUGAGGCACGAAAGUGUGGGGAUCAAACAUG